UUUCCGCAAUGGGCGAAAGCCUGACGGAGCAAUACCGCGUGAGGGAGGAAGGCUCUUGGGUUGUAAACCUCUUUUCUCAGGGAAGAAAAAAAUGACGGUACCUGAGGAAUAAGCAUCGGCUAACUCCGUGCCAGCAGCCGCGGUAAUACGGAGGAUGCAAGCGUUAUCCGGAAUGAUUGGGCGUAAAGGGUCCGCAGGUGGCAUUGUAAGUCUGCUGUUAAAGAGUUUGGCUCAACCAAAUCAAAGCAGUGGAAACUACAAAGCUAGAGUAUGGUCGGGGCAGAGGGAAUUCCUGGUGUAGCGGUGAAAUGCGUAGAUAUCAGGAAGAAC
rnacentral:rRNA from 1 species